rnacentral:rRNA from 1 species
GAUGACGCUGGCGGCGUGCUUAAUACAUGCAAGUCGAACGAGUGGCGGACGGGUGAGUAAUGUCUGGGAAACUGCCCGAUGGAGGGGGAUAACUACUGGAAACGGUAGCUAAUACCGCAUACCAUCGGAUGUGCCCAGAUGGGAUUAGCUAGUAGGUGGGGUAACGGCUCACCUAGGCGACGAUCCCUAGCUGUUCUGAGAGGGUGACCGGCCACCCGGGAACUGAGCCAGGGCCCAGACUCCACCGGGAGGCAGCAGUGGGGAAUAUUGGACAAUGGGGGCAGGCCUAAUGCAGCCCUGCCGCGUGUAUGAGGAGGGCCUUCGGGUUGUAAAGUACUUUCAGCGGGGAGGCGUUACCCGCAGAAAAAGCACCGGCUAACUCCGUGCCAGCAGCCGCGGUAAUAC